AUAAAGACCACACACAGUCACAUACUGCUCACAUUACAUUACACACUAUCCCUUGUUUGUUCCUUCUUUCUUCCACCAGUCCUUUUCCUUAAGCCAAAAUCUCUCUCCAUCAACAUUCACACUCUCAUACUACACUCCAUAAACAUACCCACUCCCCCAUUUCUUGUUUUUGUUUCUUCUUCUUCUGAACCUCCAAAGCCAAGUCCUUUUCUUUGUAAAUUUCGUUCAUUCAUAUUACAAAACAAUAUCUCUCUGCCAAUAUGGAUCUUUAACAAACUACUCUUAAUUCCCCUUCUUUUUUUUUUUUUUCUAUCCACAUAACAAAUAUGUGUGCUAAUUGAAAUAUGCAUCUUUAGUACUCUUCAAAGAUGACGCCUUUCUUCCUCAAGAAAAUGCUCACUAGAUUUACCAUUCUUUAUUUUUCCUUCUUGUUUCAUCAUUGACAAAUCUGUUUUAACUGUUUCAUUUUCAACAUAACAUCUGUCACCCACAAUAGUGUUUAUCACCAUUCUUCUUCUUCUUCCACAUAUAACAAAUCUUUUGCUAAUUUCUAUCUCUAAACACUUGCAACAUUACCCCUUUCUUUCCAAGUUGGCAAAUCUGUCUAAUAUUCAUCCUUAAAAACUCUUCCAAUAUUACCCCUUGCAGUCACAUAGUGAAUGUACUACACACUCUAACCAGUUACUUUUUCUGCAAAUAUGCAUGGUUAACACAUCCGAGAUUACACCUUUAUUCAAGAAAUGCCUCCAGAAAACCCAUACCCACCACCCCUAGCACCCCUUCCAGUCUUCCCCACCACCUACCUCCCACCCCCACCCUCCUCUCACCACCACUCCCACUCCCCUCUCAUCCCACCUUUCAUAGCUGCUGCUUUUGGUUUAACCUUCUUCAUUCUUGCUGCCGUCAUAUACCGCAAAGUGUCACGCAACAGGACUGUUCCUGCAGAUCUGAAGUCACCUCCACCACCUCACAAGUUCACCUACUCGGUCCUCCGCCGUGCCACUGCUUCAUUUUCAGCUGCUAAUCGUCUUGGUCAAGGUGGAUUUGGUUCUGUUUACAAAGGUGUCCUUCCAUCUGGACAGGAGGUAGCCGUGAAGCUAAUGGAUGCUUCCGGAUCCCUCCAGGGCGAGAGAGAGUUUCACAAUGAACUCUCUCUAGCCUCGAGGAUAGACACUACGUCUUGCCAUCACGUAGUGCCUAUCCUCGGGUUCUCCUCCGAUGAAAAUGGUUAUAGACACCAUUGUUCUAGGCGGAGGAGGAGAAGGUUAGUUCUAGUGUAUGAAUAUAUGCAUAAUGGGAGUCUCCAAGAUGCUUUGUUAGAUAGGAAGUGUUCUGAGUUAAUGCAAUGGAGAAAGAGAUUUGAUAUUAUAAGUUCCAUUGCAAAGGGUGUUGAGUAUCUCCAUUACUCCUGUGAUCCUCCUAUAGUACAUGGAGAUAUUAAGCCGUCUAAUAUAUUGUUGGAUUACAAUUUUGAUGCAAAAAUAGCUGAUUUUGGACUAGCACAGUCUUUGACUAAAGAUGAUCAAGUUGUUGAGUCUUUUAUUGAAGAUGAGGAGAGAGUUGAGAAGGGGGAAAAAGGAGAAGGUUUUGAAAAUGUGGAGGAUAACGGGUCGAUUCUUGAAGGAAAUGAGAGUGUGGUCACUGAGGAGGUUGUGAUAAAUGUGGAUCAGUUGGGGGAGAGUUGUUAUGUGAGGGUGUUGGAUGGGGAUGCGGGAGGGGUGUCGCCUGAGAUGGGAGUUCCAUCAGAGGGGAUGGAAAAAACUAGUGUUUCUGAGGGUUUUUUUGAUGGGGUUAGUGUGGAUAGUGGAAUUUUGAAAGGGAUUGGGAGGGGAACUAGUCAAUCAGGUAGAGAUUGGUGGUGGAAACAGGACAAUGUAAAUGGUGGAUCAGAUUCUGGGAGGAUUAAGGACUAUGUGAUGGAAUGGAUUGGUAGUGAGAUCAGAAAAGAGAGGCCUAAGAAGGAUUGGAUCGCAACUACAAGUGCAGAAGAAGAUAUUGCCAAAGGGGGACAACAGAAGCAAAGAAAGAAACUUGAAUGGUGGGCAUCUUUGGAUGAGGAGAGACUUAGGAGAGAAAGGAAGAGUAGGAAGCCAAGAGAAUGGUGGAAGGAAGAGUUCUGUGAGGAGUUAGCCAAGAAAAAGAAGAAAAGGGAUCUCAAAAGUGGAGAAAUGUGGUGGCAAAGGGAUGAAGAGGUAGCGCAUGAAAGAAAGAGGAAGAAAAGCAGGGGAAGUAGGAGUAGCAUUGAUUGGUGGCUUGAUAAUUUCAGCGGUGAGUUUCGGAUUGGAAGACGAAGUAGUCAAGAUUUUGCCAGUGGAGAGAUUCCCAAGAGUGGAGGUGUGAGUAGUACCCCCAGUAUGAGAGGAACAGUUUGUUACAUCGCUCCAGAAUAUGGCGGUGGAGGGCAGCUCUCAGAGAAAUGCGACGUGUACAGUUUUGGUGUUUUGUUAUUGGUUUUGGUCUCAGGGAGAAGGCCACUCCAAGUUACAGCUUCUCCGAUGUCAGAAUUUGAGAGGGCUAAUCUAGUUUCAUGGGCUAGGCAACUUGCUCAUUCGGGCAAGCUUUUAGAUCUUGUUGAUCCCAAUAUUCAGUUACUCGAUAGAGAACAAGCAUUGCUUUGCAUCACAAUUGCUCUAAUUUGUUUACAGAGAUCACCUAUCAAGCGUCCCACAAUGAAAGAGAUUGUUGGGAUGCUUUGUGGUGACUCUGAGCCACCCCACUUGCCGUUUGAGUUUUCCCCUUCACCACCAUCCAAUUUCCCUUUCAAGUCCCGGAAAAAGGCCCGUUAUCUUUGGCUUUUGCUCCCACAGCUAGCUGAAUUGAAGGAAUCCCAGGCUAAAAGUACCUGAUAUGACUCUUUGCUUCCACUUUCUAAAAGGGGCGAGUCCACCAGUAAUUAUAAAAUUCAGUGCCCUUGAACUAUAAGGAGCUUGCUUUAUUGCUCUCAUAACUUACUUUUUUGGGUCCCAGAAGAUACAACCGUUGCUGGUCUGUUGCCUUAAAAAAGUAGGAUGAUCUUGUUUACAGUGUACUUGUUUCAUUGCAGAAUAAACCCCUCUUAUCCCACUAUCCCAGAGGUAAUUACAAACUAAUACUCCUAUAUGAAGUGCUUUUUUGUUUUGUAUACGCUGAUAAUGUAUUAGCUAAGUCAUCUCAGUGACCUAUACAAUGUUCUAGUAUAAACAUGUAGUUAUAACUGUUCAUACUGCAAAACAAAUGAUAUGCUUGGGGACAUAAGAGAGAAAAGUAACAACACUAUAUUGGGUUUCUUGAGAAAACUAAAGCAGCAAGCAAGAGCUUAACAAUAGCAAGUGCUGGUUUUAUGUUACCAUAGUUGAUAUAAUAUAUGACUGCUGUUCUAUUUUAUGUGUUUACAGCUCUUUGUUAUAGGAGCUAAAGAUAAUAUGAAUACCUAUAUAUUAUAGUUUGACAUAUAGGUCAUCCACAUUUAAGAAACAAAAAUGAUAUAGACACCAAAACGAUUUCACAUUCUUCCCGUUCAUUGGGGAUCAAUAACAGUUUUUGAUUACUAAAUAGUAAGUGAAAGUUAAACAGUAUUGUCAAAUAUGAGGAGAAGCUGAGUACUAUUCAGUACUACGGAAUUUGGUUAUUCUUGCAACCUACAAUUGUCAUUUUUAUGUCUCUUGAUAUGUUUAAUGAAGUGUAUAAGCAUCUCAAAUGUCGAUGUGAGUUGGUUCCUUUAGAAGAUGAUAACAGUCAUGGAGAUCAUUUAUGUUGGACAUACUCUAAUAGCACGGUUCAAAACAACAUCCGACAGAAAUGCAAGGAGGUCACUGGAAGUUGUCUUGUCAAAGAGGAACAGCACAAAUUUAGUUCUAACACAUGAACUGGUGUUAAAGGUGCCUACUUUUGUUUACAUAACAUGUCCCUCAAAAAAAGAAAACCUUUGACCCACAAUGCUUUAUGAUAAAAUCAGACAAGACACGUUGGUUGUCUUAGCAAAUCAUUGUAGUUUUGAGAUUAUCCUUUCCUCUUCCCUACAUCAUAUAAGCCCUCUGGAUUCACUAUAUGAAAUGUUAGUGUGUCAUCUAGAUAUUUAUGUGCAUUUAGUUUAAUUUUUCUGGUAUAUAGCUGUCCUACUUAUGGAUACGUGUAAAGAAUUAUAUUGAAAAAUGGGGGCCCGGUGCACUAAAUUCCCGUUUUUAUUGUACAAACCUUAUCUUGCAUUUUUGCAAGAUGCUAUUUUCACAAUUUAAACUCGUGACUUUUAGGUAACAUGACAACAACUUUAUCAGUUACCAAAGACUCUCCGAAUUAUAUAAUCGAUUCUGAUUAGUUUGGAAACGAGUCAGUUGAUUGAUUGAUUUACUAAUAGUCAAGCAGUCACUAUUAAAUUGUCUCUCAUUCAAAUCCUAGUUGUCGAGCAAUGACAGGUUGCGGAGAAAAAAAAAUCAUUUGUUGGAGUGGAUUUCUUUGCUUCAUAAUUUGAAAGUGAUGGUGGUCAUUUUUAUUUGUCAAAAUUACUUUCUGGAGCUGUACUAUGUCGGUUUUGUAAGUUGAAUACUUUUACUUAUAUGUUUGUCAUUUGGACUCCUAAAUUUAUUAAAAAUUAAUAUUUUAAAU